UUUUGUCAAAAUGACUUUUCAAAAAUAAAUAAUUAUAAAGGAAAAGAAGAAAUUUUUCAAAAAUUUUUUUUUUUUCAAAAACGCCAAGGCCAUGUUGUCUUUGUUCUGUUACACGAUUCGGAUAUAUAAUUUAACGACUUCUGUGUUUUGUGGAGAGUAUACGUGUUUUUGUCUUAUUUUGCAAUAAUAAAUCUUAAUUUCUCAUAAUACUAGUAUUUGGGUUUACUACAAAUCGAUGUGUGUCAAUGUACGUAGUAAACACAAUUCCAUAAUACUUUCAUCAUGGUAUUUUUACCAGUGUGUCUCGGGUAUUAAACGUACUUAUAAUUUUUGAAAUUUUUCCUGUUAUAAGUAAUGUACAACUAAGAAAUGUAAGCGAAGAUUUUCUAAGUGAUUACAGUCUGUUGUAGUUCUAACGGUACACUCGUUGAUCUCGUCUAGACUUAGUGGCGCCUUUAUAAAGGUGAAAAGUCACAAAGCAAAGAGGCAUUUGUUUAAAGAAAAUACCAACUUUUUGCAAUUUUUGUUAUAAUUUUUUAAUUGUACGAUUUUCUAGUUUAAUUCAAAAUUGGGAAAUCUGAUACCGUUGUUCGAAAUUUAUUAAAAAAGCGCAAAAAUUUUAGUAAGAGACCCAUGCCACAAGGUAUCAAAAAUCCAAGCUUGCGUGCUAAAGGCCGAAAUCGUAACGAACCCACCAAAAAUUGGUGGACAUGUGCACAAAUACACAAUAAAAUAUGUCUUUCUGUGAUCAAACGACUCCUGACGCUUGCUUUGAGAGAAACUGUAGGCAUGAAAUGAAAAAAAAACGAUCGAGCAUCGAAUAGUGGCGAAGUUCCACACAGAGACGAGUUCGGCGUUUGCUCAAAAGUAUAUGCAGAGUGGGAAUACGUCAUAUUUUCAGACGAGAAGAAAUUCAAUUUUGAUACUUCUGAUGAUUUCACCUUCUCUUGGAAGGUUACCGGCAAAUACAUGUCCAAAGAACGAUGCGAAAUUUUGGAGGGGGUUUUGUGAUGGUAUGAGGUCCCUUUGCGUACAAUCAUAAGCUGUCGCCGUACUUUAUUACUAGAAAAAUGAACUCAAAGAAGGAUACAGAGUUGCUGGAUAAUGUGUUAAUUACAUUUAUGCUAAAGAGUACAUUUUUAGGCAAGACAAUGUUGUCAUACAUGUGUCGAAAAAAGCGAAACAGUGGUUUCAAGACAAAGAAAUACAUUGUUUGGACUGUCCUGCAUGUUGUUGAGAUUGUAAUCCCAUUGAAAAUUUAUGGGAGAUACUGUCUAUAAAAGUAUACACAAAUUGCAUUUAAGGAACUUGUUGAACGGAAAUUGACCCCAUUGAUCAAAACAUCCAAAAAAGUAAACUCAAAUGCGUUUAGUCAAAUGUGCUAUUUUCAAAAAAAAAAAAUAUAUUUUGAGUAAAAAUUUUUUGUAAAUUAACUAAAAAUAAUUUUUAAAAUGAUUUCUAAAUUAGUUCUGAGUGCUAUUGCAAAAAAAUAUAAACAAUAGAUUGAAAUUUUAAAUAUAAUAACAAAAAAGA